rnacentral:rRNA from 1 species
CCCGCUGAACUUAAGCAUAUCAGUAAGCAGAGGAAAAGAAAUUAACUAAGAUUGCCUCAGUAGCGGCGAGCGAACCGGCAAAAGCUCAAACUUAAAAUCUGGGGUCUUCGGCCUCCGAAUUGUAAUCUAAAGAGUAUGACAAAAGGUUGGAUAAAGGAAUAAGUCUCUUGGAACAGAGCACCAAAGAGGGUGACAGUCCCGUAUUGGUCCUUUUGAAAGCCGAAUGUCUAAGCUCAUAGAGUCGGGUUGUUUGGGAUUGCAGCCCUAAAUGGGAGAUAAACUUCUUCUAAGGCUAAAUAUUUAUGGGAAACCGAUAGCGAACAAGUACUGUGAAGGAAAGAUGAAAAGAACUUUGAAAAGAGGGUUAAAAGACUUGAAAUCGUUGAGAAGGAAGCGGUAGAAACGAAUUAAUUGCGUGUAGAGUAAGCAAGGUGAAUGUCUGCUUCAUGGGGUAAUGCACGUCAUUGGCUAGCUUCAUGAAGUUAGGGCAUUCUCUUGUGAUUCUACACGUAAAAGACAAAAUGAGAUACGGCUCACCGGAGUCAGGUGUAAGGACGUGCGUAGUUCUACUACGAGCCUUAUACCAAAACGGUUUGCAUAUCUGAGGGAAGACGCCUGAUUUUGUCAAAAUGGUUUCUACUGACCCGUCUUGAAACACAAG